GUGAAUCAUCGAAUUUUUGAACGCAAAUUGCACUCUCUGCGGAGGGUAUGCCUGUUUGAGGGUCAGCCUAAAAAAAAAAUCGACAUAGUCGCUGUUUCUUGGUGAUAUUCGUUGGCAAUUGGUUCAUUUUUAACCUUUGGGUUUUAAGUGGUCUAAAAUUUUCUUUACGAUUCCCGGAAUGUUUCUAAGAUUUACUUCUUCUACGUUUA
rnacentral:misc_RNA from 1 species